UACCACCCGCGUGUUAAUUCCAAGAAGCGCGCAUCGAUGGACCUCCUUGAUUGAUUCCUCAUCCGACGGCGACAGUAAAAAAAAAAUCAGAGCCCACCGCUGCGGCGACAAAAAUAAUUCACGGAACCGCCGACAAUUAAUUAAGAGAUUACCGAGAAUAAAAUUUAAUGCCGGCCGAGUGUCAAGAAGGACAUCAUUAAAUUAUUAUUCCCUCUCUGCUCAAACAUGCAGCAGCCAAAAGAAAGAAAGAAAGAGAGAGAAUGGCGCGCGGGCCUAUUAGUAGGAAAGAGCGGCCUUCUCGGAAGUGUUGCACGAUGGACCUCCAGAUUGCCAAUUCCGAGAAGCUCUUUUAUUUAACCCCUUUCCCCCCACCCCGAGCGGCGGCCCGCAUCGCCUAAGAGCGCAGUCUGCGACCGGUCGCCACCGCGACAGCACCGAACACCACAUCGAACCAGAGCAGGCCGACCAGGGUGCACGCCACGAUGAACACGGACAGCAGGGUGAUGCUGAGACUAGAGAAGCCUGCAACAAGUCCAAACAGAGAUUUGUAGGUUUGUUCGCAAAACGUUCGGAGCCAGAAUCAUCAAAUUCUCGACUCUCGUGUGUAUAAAAAUUAAUAAAAAAAUCAGGCGAAAAAUAAAGGUGCAAAAACUCGGAUGAUUUUGGGUUUUAUUUAUGUCAGUACAAUUAAAUUUAUUUAUUUGUAUAAUAAUAAUUGCUACUUUUUACAAUUCUUUAAUUGAUGGAUACAUUCAACAAGCACUCUGAUUGACAAAAAAAUUGGCAAGUUUUUGAAGGAAGUCGCAAUCCGGGGACUUGUCAAAGUUCAACGAAUAAGCUUUGAAUCUUAAGUCGAAUUUGUUUCUAUCAAUUUAUUGAAAUAAACCAAUAAUUAAAAAAAAAAAAAAAUUAAA